AGUGAACGCUGGCGGCGUGCCUAAUACAUGCAAGUCGAACGCAGUGGAGCACGGGUGAGUAAUCUAUAGUUAAUCUGCCCUACACAGUGGAACAACAGGUGGAAACGGCCGCUAAUACCUCAUAGUGUAGGAUGAGACGAUAUCGUAUCAGCUAGUUGGUAAGGUAAUGGCUUACCAAGGCUAUGACGCGUAACUGGUCGGUGAGGAUGGUCAGACACAUUGGAACUGGGACACGGUCCAGAAUCCUACGGGAGGCAGGAGAAAGGGAUAGAGCGCAAUGGGGGGAGUCCUGACGCAGCUACGCCGCGUGGAGGAUGUCACUAGUCGAAGCGUAUGCUACGUGUAUCAGGAAAGCGGUACCUGAUGAAUAAGCACCGGCUAACUCCGUGCCAGCAGCCGCGGUAAUUC
rnacentral:rRNA from 1 species